rnacentral:rRNA from 1 species
GACGAACGCUGGCGGCGUGCUUAACACAUGCAAGUCGAACGGAAAGGCCCUGCUUUUGUGGGGUGCUCGAGUGGCGAACGGGUGAGUAACACGUGAGUAACCUGCCCUUGACUUUGGGAUAACUUCAGGAAACUGGGGCUAAUACCGGAUAGGAGCUCCUGCGGCAUGGUGGGGGUUGGAAAGUUUCGGCGGUUGGGGAUGGACUCGCGGCUUAUCAGCUUGUUGGUGGGGUAGGGGCUUACCAAGGCUUUGACGGGUAGCCGGCCUGAGAGGGUGACCGGCCACAUUGGGACUGAGCUACGGCCCAGACUCCUACGGGAGGCAGCAGUGGGGAAUAUUGCACAAUGGGCGGAAGCCUGAUGCAGCAACGCCGCGUGCGGGAUGACGGCCUUCGGGUUGUAAACCGCUUUCGCCUGUGACGAAGCGUGAGUGACGGUAAUGGGUAAAGAAGCACCGGCUAACUACGUG